rnacentral:lncRNA from 1 species
CUAUUUAUUUUUGUUGUUUUUCAUAACUUCAAAGUCUCAUAACUUGAUGAUCCCUAAGCCUUUUUGAGCCACUCGUUUUUCUAUAUGUUCCUAAUUUUGUCUAUUUUAUGAUGGUAAAAAGAAAUUCCAUAAUUGAUUUAUUUUUAACAUACUUAUGCUUGUCUAAAGUUGGUACCUUUUUAGGAUUGUUUUAGGGUUUCAAAUGACCUUCUUUGGUUGAUACUUUAAUUUUUCUUGAUCACCAUGACUUGU